UCACCUCCCAGGCUGGCAGCCCCCAGGCUGGGCGGGGUGGGUAUCUCUUCGAAAGGCUCCCCCUCAAGCGGACUAGGAGC
rnacentral:pre_miRNA from 1 species